rnacentral:rRNA from 1 species
AGUCGUACGGACAUCUUUUUCUAGCAAUAGAGUUUGAUGUUAGUGGCAAACGGGAGAGGAACACAUUGGCAACCUGCCUUCAAGACGGGCAUAACUCCGAGAAAUCGGAGCUAAUACCACGAUAGACAUGGGGGGACAUAAGUCAUUCCCAUGUAAAUCCCUUCGGGGGCUUGAAGAGGGGCCUAUGGCCUAUCAGCUUGUUGGUGAGGUAAAAGCUCACCAAGGCUAUGACGGGUAUGGGGUGUGAGAGCAUGACCCCACUCACUGGGACUGAGACACUGCCCAGACACCUACGGGUGGCUGCAGUCAAGAAUAUUCCGCAACGGGCGAAAGCCUGACGGAGCGACGCCGCGUGCAGGAUGAAGGGUUUCGGCUCGUAAACUGCUUUUCUCAGGGAAGAAUCUAUGACGGUACCUGAGGAAUAAGAGGUUGCUAACUCUGUGCCAGCAGCAGCGGUGAUACAGAGACCUCAAGCGUUAUCCGGAUUUAUUGGGCGUAAAGGGUCCGCAGGCGGCCUUGCGCGUCACUGGUUAAAUCUUCGGGCUCAACCCGAGGGCUGCUAGUGAUACGGCAAGGCUAGAGACUGGGAGAGGUGUGCGGAAUUACUGGUGUAGGGGUCAUAUCCGUUAAUAUCAGUAAGAACACCAAAUGCGAAGGCAGCACACUGGAACAUGUCUGACGCUCAGGGACGAAAGCGUGGGGAGCGAAAGGGAUUAGAUACCCCUGUAGUCCACGCCCUAAACGAUGAAUGCUGGGUAUUCGGAGUAUCGACCCUCCGAGUGCCGAUGACCAAAGCUAACGCGCUAAGCAUUCC